rnacentral:rRNA from 1 species
AUACGGAGGGGGUUAGCGUUGUUCGGAAUUACUGGGCGUAAGGCGCACGUAGGCGGAUUGGAAAGUUGGGGGGUAAAUCCCAGGGCUCAACCCUGGAACUGCCUCCAAAACUAACAGUCUAGAGUUCGAGAGAGGUGAGUGGAAUUCCAAGUGUAGAGGUGAAAUUCGUAGAUAUUUGGAGGAACACCAGUGGCGAAGGCGGCUCACUGGCUCGAUACUGACGCUGAGGUGCGAAAGCGUGGGGAGCAAACAGGAUUAGAUACCCCAGUAGUCC